rnacentral:lncRNA from 1 species
GGACUUCAAAAUAGGGACUUUCAUGUUAGUGACCUUGCCAAAACAUUCACCUAUAAAAUCUUUAGCCUCCCUUGUCCACCAUUAUAUAAGAUGAAGAGAUGCGGCGGGCAGCUUUCUAACAAUAGGGAAGGAACCGAUCACUGGAGAAUGAACUUCCGAGGUGAGAACUUUAUCAGACUGAUUUUGCUCAUUGCUCAUGAUUUCAAGAUG